rnacentral:lncRNA from 1 species
GAAUGUGACAAGCCCAAGCCUUCACCAACUCCAUACUACUACAAAUCACCUCCACCUCCCUCACCUGUUUACAAGUACAACUCUCCACCUCCACCAGUCCAUUAUUAUUCACCACCAUAUUACUACAAAUCACCUCCUCCUCCAGUAAAAUCGCCACCAACACCUUACUACUACAAAUCACCUCCACCUCCCUCACCAGUUUACAAGUACAACUCACCACCUCCACCGGUCCAUUAUUACUCUCCUCCAUAUUCCUAUAAGUCGCCUCCACCUCCCUCACCAGUUUACAAAUACAACUCCCCACCUCCACCAGUCCACCAUUAUGAUCCUCCAUAUUACUACAAGUCACCUCCACCUCCCUCACCAGUUUACAAGUACAACUCCCCACCUCCACCAGUCCAUUAUUAUUCACCUCCAUAUUACUACAAAUCCCCACCUCCUCCUGUGAAAUCCCCACCACCCCCUUACUACUAUAAAUCACCUCCACCUCCCUCACCAGUUUACAAAUACAACUCACCACCUCCACCGGUUUACAAGUACAACUCACCACCUCCACCAGUCCACCAUUAUGAUCCUCCAUAUAACUACAAGUCACCUCCACCUCCUUCACCUGUUUACAAGUACAACUCCCCACCUCCACCAGUCCAUUAUUAUUCACCUCCAUAUUACUACAAAUCACNNN